UAGCCCACGUUGUAUUAUAAUUAUUUGGCUUUGCGUUGCAAUUGAUUCUAUAGUAAGAUGCAUCUGUUACUGCAACUCUCUCUGGCAUGUUCAAUAAUUGCCGGAUGUUCCACGCAGACAAUCCCUCCGCACUGUCUGCGCCUAAGAUGCUGCUUAUACAAGGGAAAAUGGUACGAGCCCGGUUCUGAAUUCCAAGACGAAUGCAAUGAUUGCUGGUGCAACAACGGGCGUGUAGGAUGUACGAGAAUCGACUGCGGAAACAAACCAGGCGUGUGUCCUGAGCCAGGCAUUGGGCUAUGCUGGGAAGAGUGCAGUUCCGAUCGUGUCUGUCCGUAUGAAAAGAAAUGCUGUUUCAAUGGCUGCGGACAUACAUGUGAACAACCAAACAAUUAACAGCGUUUUCCGAUUUUUGUAGAUGUGACCCUUUUCAAUAUAAUGAAUGGAUGUAACGUUACAUUAUUUAAGUAAAUUUGUAUGUACAAAUGACAAUGUACGUAUGUAUACGUUGUAUUAAACUGU